UUUUCUUGAGGGAAGGAAAUGACGGAAAAAGAAAGGGAAAAAACUUGUUUUUUCCCGUUGGACUUCAGCAUGUAUGAUGAUGACAUUCAUUCACUUCGUGAAAACAUUAUGUGRAAGAAAACCGACUCAAUCGAUAWAUACAYUGCAUAGCUCGGAWUCAGAUAAGUUAGAACAUCUUUCACUACAGAAUACAUAACCACAAGUACAAGCUUUCUUGUUGUUUAUUCAACUUGCGGUCAGGUUUUUCGUCCUCAUUAACAACCCAAGCCUGUCUCGUUUUUACUAAAAACUUGGUUGAUUUUAGAUAACAGUGUUACGAAAUUCAUCCAAGACGUUCUUAGAAAACUAGAACUUUCAAGUUUUAAAGGCAAGAGAUGUGAAAAAUCAACUCUUCCGAAGUGAGAUUUGUCCCGUACAGCGAACUGAAACGUCACAUGAUGGCAUCAACUUCACAAUGGAGCGCAAAGCGGAGGCGACUUCGAUCAAAACAAAUUGAGACUCGUUUAAAACUUACUUAUCCAGUUUGCAAGAAACUAGAAGACACAGGAAAUCUGAAAACCUGCAGUGAAUGCCUAGAAAAUCAUAGAUAACAAAGAGGAUAUCAUGCUGUUGAGAUGCCUGAAUAAAUGACUUUAACUCAUGCCACGAUCUCGCAUGAUGCAUAAUUAGAGUAACUCAUGCUGUCUGUACUGACGUAUCUAAAAGUUGUGGUACAUGGAACUGGUUGUUUUCAAAUUUUCAUGAUUCAAUGCAAGUAACCUAUGCGAAGUUAGGCAACCCAACAAACUAGCCCUUAUACGAUAUCCGUUGUGCUGACAUGUUCUCAAAAUAUUUAGCCAUUAAAAAAGUAAUCCUUACGCAUUUGA